rnacentral:rRNA from 1 species
UACGAAGGGGGCUAGCGUUUGCUCGGAAUCACUGGGCGUUAAAGGGUGCGUAGGCGGGUCUUUUAAGUCAGGGGUGAAAAUUCCUGGAGCUCAACUCCAGAACUGCCUUUGAUACUGAGGAUCUUGAGUAUGGGAGAGGUGAGUGGAACUGCGAGUGUAGAGGUGAAAUUCGUAGAUAUUCGCAAGAACACCAGUGGCGAAAGGCGGCUCACUGGCCCAUUACUGACGCUGAGGCACGAAAGCGUGGGGAGCAAACAGG